AUUACAUGGUUCUCUGUCCUUGAAAGUGUGGCAAGUAAUGGGCUAAUCGGAUUAGGUCAUUAGGUACAGACCAAUCAGAAACAAAUGGUCAUUUUUUGAAGUAUCAGCAAAGAUGGUAUGAGUUGCUGUAUGUUGGCUUCAUACAUACACAGUUUACAUACUACAAAUUUCAGCAUUGUCAAAUAAAUGGUUUUCAAUCCAUUAAAAGGAAGCCAUGUUUGUUGCAAUUGUGGUUGGUAGGUACUGGGAAAAAACUGACUAUUGAAUGUGUAUGUAUUUGUCUCUUGGUACGAAACUGAUGGAAGAGCAGCCUUGAUGAAGCAGUAAAAAGGUUCUUGGAUGCCUUGCUCCACAAUACCUCUGGUCAGACAAGAAAAGACCUGGCUAAGGAUAACAGAGCUUCAAAUCAUUUAUCACCAAGAAAGUUACUGAUUUAAACCGAAUCCUGUAACGCGAAAGAUUCUUAAUUAAGCUAAGUGUCGAAUAUUAGGUCAGUUAAGACGACAGUAAUGCAUAGGUAUAUUUUGAAAUCUAGACAUUGUAGCUGUUGUUAUUUAUUGCAAAAACUCUGAUUUAAACAUGCCUGUAUAGCUACGAUGCAUAAUAUUUAAUGUUUUUAUGCAAGUUUCAAUUAAAGAAAAAUG